GCGAGGAAACUGAAGGCUUCCUUGACUCCAAGUGCAGCUCUUCCUAUACACGGUCCUUGUCCGCUCGUUUGGCCCUAGAUGCCUCCUAUCUGCGUCCGCUGAUGCUAAAUAUAGCUGUCUGUGGCUGGCUGCAUAUGCAAUCAUACACCCCAUCCUAUUUGCCAUAUCUCAGUUACAGAUACAGUUACUGUCCCUCCAGGGUCAUUCUAUGCACACACCACGCAGUUCCAGCCAACAAGACUGAAUCAAACAGAAAGGGAGACAAGCAGAGACAGAUUGGAGCCUGGCACAGGUACACAGGCAACACAUCAGGAAAAAAAGAAAGAAAAGAAACCAGCCUGUGGCUCAGUCUGCAUUUGUUGCAAACCUAGUCUUCCCUGGAGUGGGGGUGGAGGUUGCGGCUGCUGGAGAUCCCUCUGCCGCCUUCACCCCCUGCAGCGAAAUCUAGCAGCGAAGACCAGGAAAGUUAAGUUCAGGGAAGAUAGCGGUUCUUAGGGUGCGCGCGCGGUGUGAUGUUCCUAUAAGUGCCUGGAAGCUGCAGCCCCUGGUCCGAGGCUUCCAGCAGGUUUGCGAUGUCUAAGAACAGGGGAGACCAGUCUGCAAAGUUGGAGAGCCC
rnacentral:lncRNA from 1 species